rnacentral:rRNA from 1 species
GUAUAGAAGUCGAAGUAGUCCAUGGUAAUUUGUCUGAAUGUUGUUCGCAAUGACAUCUUCGUACCUUUCACCACAGCCUCUGCUUUCCCGUUGCGCCAUUGGGAUUGAACAGGGGUGAAGAUCCACUUCACUCCUGUCUUCUUACUGACUUCUGUCCAGUCUAACUUGUCCUCGUCUUCAUUCGGGUCCAACCCUCCUGCUGCACUGAUUAGCUGGGAACCUCUGUCAGAAUAUAC